rnacentral:rRNA from 1 species
GAUGAACGCUGGCGGCGUGCCUAAUACAUGCAAGUCGAGCGAAUGGAUUAAGAGCUUGCUCUUAUGAAGUUAGCGGCGGACGGGUGAGUAACACGUGGGUAGCCUGCCCAUAAGACUGGGAUAACUCCGGGAAACCGGGGCUAAUACCGGAUAAUAUUUUGAACUGCAUGGUUCAAAAUUGAAAGGCGGCUUCGGCUGUCACUUAUGGAUGGACCCGCGUCGCAUUAGCUAGUUGGUGAGGUAACGGCUCACCAAGGCAAUGAUGCGUAGCCGACCUGAGAGGGUGAUCGGCCACACUGGGACUGGGACACGGCCCAGACUCCUACGGGAGGCAGCAGUAGGGAAUCUUCCGCAAUGGACGAAAGUCUGACGGAGCAACGCCGCGUGAGUGAUGAAGGCUUUCGGGUCGUAAAACUCUGUUGUUAGGGAAGAACAAGUGCUAGUUGAAUAAGCUGGCACCUUGACGGUACCUAACCAGAAAGCCACGGCUAACUACGUGCCAGCCGCCGCGGUAA